UGGGCUUAGCGGCCUUGGGCUUCACAGCCUUAGCAGCACUUUUGGCAGCUUUCUUGGGCUUCGCAACCUUGGCCUUCUUUGGGCUCUUAGCCACUUUCUUGGUUACAGUGGCCGCGGCCGGCUUCUUCGCUUUCUUCGGUGUUUUCUUAGCGCUCUUCUUCGGAGUUGCGCCGCCAGCCGCCUUCUUGGGCUUCUUGGCUGCCCCAACUGGCUUCUUAGGUUUGGUUCCGCCCGCCUUUUUAACCUUGGGCUUGGCUUCCCCGGAGGCUGCC
rnacentral:lncRNA from 1 species